rnacentral:rRNA from 1 species
CUUAGCGCGCCUUAGCGCGGUGGUCCCACCUGACCCCAUGCCGAACUCAGAAGUGAAACGCCGUAGCGCCGAUGGUAGUGUGGGGUCUCCCCAUGCGAGAGUAGGGAACUGCCAGGC